AGAGUUUGAUCCUGGCUCAGGAUGAACGCUGGCGGCGUGCUUAACACAUGCAAGUCGAGCGAAGCACUUAUCAUUGACUCUUCGGAAGAUUUGAUAUUUGACUGAGCGGCGGACGGGUGAGUAACGCGUGGGUAACCUGCCUCAUACAGGGGAAUAACAGUUAGAAAUGGCUGCUAAUGCCGCAUAAGCGCACAGGACCGCAUGGUCCGGUGUGAAAAACCGAGGUGGUAUGAGAUGGACCCGCGUCUGAUUAGGUAGUUGGUGGGGUAACGGCCUACCAAGCCGACGAUCAGUAGCCGGCCUGAGAGGGUGAACGGCCACAUUGGGACUGAGACACGGUCCAAACUCCUACGGGAGGCAGCAGUGGGGAAUAUUGCACAAUGGGGGAAACCCUGAUGCAGCGACGCCGCGUGAAGGAAGAAGUAUCUCGGUAUGUAAACUUCUAUCAGCAGGGAAGAAAAUGACGGUACCUGACUAAGAAGCCCCGGCUAACUACGUGCCAGCAGCCGCGGUAAUACGUAGGGGGCUAGCGUUAUCCGGAUUUACUGGGCGUAAAGGGAGCGUAGACGGACGGGCAAGUCUGAAGUGAAAGGCAGGGGCUCAACUCCUGGACUGCUUUGGAAACUGUCCAUCUAGAGUGCCGGAGAGGUAAGCGGAAUUCCUAGUGUAGCGGUGAAAUGCGUAGAUAUUAGGAGGAACACCAGUGGCGAAGGCGGCUUACUGGACGGUAACUGACGUUGAGGCUCGAAAGCGUGGGGAGCAAACAGGAUUAGAUACCCUGGUAGUCCACGCCGUAAACGAUGA
rnacentral:rRNA from 1 species